ACUCAAAUAUCUUAUGUAGAGUACAACAUUGAAGCUGUUGUUGAGAUAAAUUUAUCUUUGAGUA
rnacentral:tRNA from 1 species